rnacentral:rRNA from 1 species
UACGUAGGGUGCAGGCGUUAUUCGGAAUUACUGGGCUUAAAGCGUGCGCAGGCGGUUUGCUAAGUCAGGUGUGAAAUCCCCGGGCUUAACCUGGGAACUGCGCUUGUAACUGGCAAGCUAGAGUGUGGCAGAGGGGGGUGGAAUUCCACGUGUAGCAGUGAAAUGCGUAGAGAUGUGGAGGAACACCGAUGGCGAAGGCAGCCCCCUGGGCUAACACUGACGCUGAUGCACGAAAGCGUGGGGAGCAAACAGG